rnacentral:rRNA from 1 species
GGGGAAUAUUGCACAAUGGGCGAAAGCCUGAUGCAGCAACGCCGCGUGAGUGAUGAAGGUCUUCGGAUUGUAAAGCUCUGUUGUUGGUGAAGAAGGAUAGAGGCAGUAACUGGUCUUUAUUUGACGGUAAUCAACCAGAAAGUCACGGCUAACUACGUGCCAGCAGCCGCGGUAAUACGUAGGUGGCAAGCGUUGUCCGGAUUUAUUGGGCGUAAAGCGAGCGCAGGCGGAAUGAUAAGUCUGAUGUGAAAGCCCACGGCUCAACCGUGGAACUGCAUCGGAAACUGUCAUUCUUGAGUGCAGAAGAGGAGAGUGGAACUCCAUGUGUAGCGGUGGAAUGCGUAGAUAUAUGGAAGAACACCAGUGGCGAAGGCGGCUCUCUGGUCUGCAACUGACGCUGAGGCUCGAAAGCAUGGGUAGCGAACAGGAUUAGAUACCCUGGUAGUCCAUGCCGUAAACGAUGAGCGCUAGGUGUUGGGGACUUUCCGGUCCUCAGUGCCGCAGCAAACGCAUUAAGCGCUCCGCCUGGGGAGUACGACCGCAAGGUUGAAACUCUAAAGUGAAUUGAC